rnacentral:lncRNA from 10 species
CAGGGUCUUGUUCUGUUGCCCAAGCUGGAGUGCAGCAGCAUGAUCAAAGCUCACCAUAACUUCAAAUUCUUGCGCUCAAGCAAUCCUCCCAUCAAGGUAGCAAAGAAAGCGAUUUCAUUUCAACGAAGAGCCUUUAUUCUUUUCAGACAAACCAUCUAAAAAGAACUGUGAAGUCGCACAGAUUUAGACUUCAAGAAUGUGUUCAUAUACACACCAGUUUCUACUGAAUUCACCACUAACUUACUGAUUAAUCAUGGAAUCACAGACCACUGGAGUUGGGAAGGGC